ACGCACGCUGGCGGCGUGCUUCACACCUGCAGGUCGAACGGAAAGGCCCUGCUUUUGUGGGGUGCUCGAGUGGCGAACGGGUGAGUAACACGUGAGUAACCUGCCCUUGACUUUGGGAUAACUUCAGGAAACUGGGGCUAAUACCGGAUAGGAGCUCCUGCUGCAUGGUGGGGGUUGGAAAGUUUCGGCGGUUGGGGAUGGACUCGCGGCUUAUCAGCUUGUUGGUGGGGUAGUGGCUUACCAAGGCUUUGACGGGUAGCCGGCCUGAGAGGGUGACCGGCCACAUUGGGACUGAGAUACGGCCCAGACUCCUACGGGAGGCAGCAGUGGGGAAUAUUGCACAAUGGGCGGAAGCCUGAUGCAGCAACGCCGCGUGCGGGAUGACGGCCUUCGGGUUGUAAACCGCUUUCGCCUGUGACGAAGCGUGAGUGACGGUAAUGGGUAAAGAAGCACCGGCUAACUACGUG
rnacentral:rRNA from 1 species